GUUUUUUGGCCCCGCAGUGUUUUCUCUGCUCCUCCGUAUUCUUCUUGCGGCGUCGGAGGAUCAGGUUUCGUGGCCCUGGCAACCACGGUGAGAAUGGAAAUGAGGACCACUCCCGUCAACCUUUUCGUAACAACACGGUUUUUCGAUGGGUUCUGGGAGUGUUGAGGAUCGGUGUUGAGCUUGCAUCUUGGUACUGGCAAGGUGCACCAGCUUCAAAGUCAUUUUCGAGGUUUGCAUUCAAUCGAGGACGUCGGCGUUUCUUUCUUCAUUCAGAUUCAUUUAGAUCGUACGAUUUUACGAAGCUCGAAGAAGUUGAAGAUAUAUAUGUGGAAUAAUGUGUCCAAGUUAUUAAUCCAUCAUCGACUGGGACUACACUUGGUCAAAGUCGCGUGCUGUUACUACAGUCGACGAAAGUGUACAGACGAUAGUUCGCAGGUAAUAUCAGUGGUAAUGAGAAG
rnacentral:misc_RNA from 1 species